rnacentral:rRNA from 1 species
UUGAACGCUGGCGGCAUGCUUUACACAUGCAAGUCGGACGGCAGCGGGGGCUUCGGCCUGCCGGCGAGUGGCGAACGGGUGAGUAAUACAUCGGAACGUGUCCUAUAGUGGGGGAUAACCCAGCGAAAGUUGGGCUAAUACCGCAUACGUCCUACGGGAGAAAGCGGGGGAUCGCAAGACCUCGCGCUAGUGGAGCGGCCGAUGUCCGAUUAGCUUGUUGGUGAGGUAAAGGCUCACCAAGGCGACGAUCGGUAGCUGGUCUGAGAGGAUGAUCAGCCACACUGGGACUGAGACACGGCCCAGACUCCUACGGGAGGCAGCAGUGGGGAAUUUUGGACAAUGGGGGCAACCCUGAUCCAGCCAUUCCGCGUGAGUGAAGAAGGCCUUCGGGUUGUAAAGCUCUUUCAGCCGGAACGAAACGGUACGCUCUAACAUAGCGUGCUAAUGACGGUACCGGCAGAAGAAGCACCGGCUAACUACGU